UACGGAGGGUGCGAGCGUUGUCCGGAAUCAUUGGGCGUAAAGGGCGCGUAGGUGGCCCGGUCAGUUCGUGGUGAAAGCGCGGGGCUCAACCCUGCGUCGGCCAUGAAUACUGCCGCGGCUGGAGCACUGUAGAGGCAGGCGGAAUUCCGGGUGUAGCGGUGGAAUGCGUAGAGAUCCGGAAGAACACCGGUGGCGAAGGCGGCAGUCCUGGACCGAGUAUUGACGCUGAGGCGCGG
rnacentral:rRNA from 1 species